rnacentral:rRNA from 1 species
UACGUAGGGAGCAAGCGUUGUCCGGAAUCAUUGGGCGUAAAGCGCGCGUAGGCGGCUCGAUCAGUCUGUUGUGAAAGUCAAAGGCUCAACCUUUGAAUGCCGAUGGAUACUGUCGAGCUAGAGUCCGGAAGAGGCGAGUGGAAUUCCUGGUGUAGCGGUGAAAUGCGCAGAUAUCAGGAGGAACACCGGUGGCGAAGGCGGGUCUCUGGGCAGUGAACUGACGCUGAGGAGCGAAAGCGUGGGGAGCGAACAGG